GAUGAACGCUGGCGGCGUGCUUAACACAUGCAAGUCGAACGGAAAGGCUCCUGCUUGCAGGGGUACUCGAGUGGCGAACGGGUGAGUAACACGUGGGUGAUCUGCCCUGCACUUCGGGAUAAGCCUGGGAAACUGGGUCUAAUACCGGAUAGGACGAUGGUUUGGAUGCCAUAGUGGAAAGCUUUUCGGUGUGGGAUGAGCUCGCGGCCUAUCAGCUUGUUGGUGGGGUAAUGGCCUACCAAGGCGUCGACGGGUAGCCGGCCUGACCGGGCGUACGGCCCCAUUGGGACUGAGAUGCGACCCAGACUCCUACGGGAGGCAGCAGUGGGGUAUAUUGCACUAUGGGCGCAAGCCUGAUGCAGCGACGCCGCGUGGGGGAUGACGGCCUUCGGGUUGUAACCUCCUUUCGCUAGGGACGAGGCGCAAGUGACGGUACCUUGAGAAGAAGCACCGGCUAACUACGUG
rnacentral:rRNA from 1 species